GUGCUUGCUUUGGCAGCACACAUAGUAAAAUUGGAACCAGACAAGAAAAUUAGCCUGGUGCCUUUGCAAGAAUGACAUCCAAGAAAACCAUAAAACUUCCUCAUUUAU
ensembl:snRNA U6 U6 spliceosomal RNA